UUUUAUGCUAAUGAGGUGACUCAUGGUGGCCCCCUAUAUAGUUUAUGCCAACAAGACUACUCAGGAUGGGGGAUGACCAUGCCAGGAAAACCAACCAUGUGAUUAGAGAGCUGGGGCUUUGAGCCAUGUGGUAUCAACUCAACCUCUGGGAAGAGGAAGAGAACAAGAGAUUAAGAACCAUGGGCAAUCAUUCAAUUGAUCACGAGAGCAAAGCAUCCUGACUCCAGGAAGAGAGGGCGAAAGAAGCGUCACCUUCAGCAUCCUUCUAGAUCUCGCCCUAAAUACAUGAACUGGUCAACUUUAUUAAAAACUUCAAAUCUACAUUCUUGCAGGAACAGUUGCAUGCAGAGACAGUCCAACUAUGGAAAUACUUCAGCAAGCACAGCCAAGUGCCUCCCCAGAGCUUUAGCCCCAGUUACUGCCUAGAGUAAAAACAAAACAAGAAAAUGGUCAAAAUGAGUCAAUCUCCUAAACUUCAACCGGAAAAGAGACAAGAGAACAAGACAAACUUCUCCAAUCCCACUUCUGAGAUAGUCAAAAGGCUCAAUCAUAAGUGCUGGAGGAAACUAAAUGGCUCCCUUGGACAGAUGCUCUGGUUCCUUCAAGCCACUAGGUAAGUGACCAAACAGUAUUCUGGUACUUCACCCAAAAAAAUAAA